GGGAGUGUCCCAGUAUGGUAAGAUUCUGGAACCUAGUUAAAAACCUACUGAGGCAGGUGUUUUCCAGGACCGUAGAAUUAGACCCCUGGGUAUACUUACUUAAUAGAUCGCUGGAGGGAUGGACCAGAACUGAACAAAAGCUUAUCCACAAGAUCACAUUACGCUAGGAAGGCGGUAGCAGCCUCUUGGCUGAAGCCAACCACCCCAGGC